GUGUAACUUAAGGCAGGGGAGGCAGCAUAAUGGUUACGCAAAAAGCUUUCCUGCCUGACACUGUAGGGCCCAGGUUCAGUCCCCAGUACCACUAUAAACCGGAGUUGAGCAGUGCUCCAGUGUCUUUCUCUCUAUCUCUAAAAUAGUUUAAUUUAAUUUAAAAACAAGGAGGUGUGACUUCAAGCAAUACCAGAGUUGGCUGGGCUGGCCUUCACAUCCUGCAGACUAUAUACACUUUAGCUGUCAUUUUCAAACCAACAUGUGCAGAUGAGCCCUGACCCAUCUCUCGUUGUGAUGAUCAUUGCUCCCUCCCCCAACACACACACACACACACACACACACACACACACAUAUCAGAUCUUCUUGUUUAUCUUUCCCUCCCUUCCUUUCUCCUUUCUUUCUUCCUUCCUUCCUUCCUUCCUUCCUUCCUUCCUUCCAUGAGUCGGCUUCCUGGCCCAACUUUUCCUUGGGAGCACUGGAGGGUGGGGGGGAUGAGAAAGAGAGAGCAGGGAGAGAUAGCCAGAAAGAAGACAGACUCUACAGCAGUGUUUCACCACCCACAGAGCUCCUCUGGUGCCAUCCACAGUUCUCCCAUAUGGUGUCAGGUUCUCAUGCAUAGAAGGAAGGAAGGAAAUUCUUAAAAGACAGUUGACCUUUCAACUCUUUGUGUUUCCAUAGGCAGGGUAGGCGGAUAGAGGUACUAACUAAACCGUCCCCUGACUUGAAAAUUCCCAUGUUACUUAUAGCCAGUCCCCUGCGUGUGAAGGGUUCUCAUCCAUGCUUGGUUGGGUCCAUGAAUGGGAACCACAGACAGAAAACCAUGUGCUUGUGAGUGGACACACGUGGUCCCAACCCAUUUUGCCCAAGAGCCAGUGUUAUUUCAUCUUUGCAACUGAGAUUUUCUAAGUGAAGUCCAGCAAGGCAAAGGGCCAGGAUCUGGGGACUCACAUGCAGUCCGGCCUCCCACCCUCUCCCCUCUUCUGGCCUCUGCUUCUCAGCUGCACCUCCACUGCACCCCCACCCACGACACCCCAGUUCCCCCUGGCCUUUCCUUUUACACCCUACCAGCAACCUCUGCCACCAUACUCCCCCACAACCUGGGCACAGGGAUAGGGAGAGUCAGGGCUAGGUACGUGUACCCCAUGGCAUCUUGGGGUGUCACAUGGUGAUAGAGGCCCCUGCCCUGGGCUGGCAGCGUAGAUGCAUUCAGUGGGACUAGGUGGGGACAAGCCUUUAGCCACCAGCUUCCAUCCAGGUACCUCACAUAGACACUGUGCCCUGGCAUAGAGGUUGCCGUGCAGCUGGGAGGAGGAGGGUGCCAUGUGCUAAAAGUUGGGGAAGAGCGUUUGUGAAUGGGGAGAGGCCAACCCCAUCCCCCCAGUCUAGACACAGCAUCCUUCCAGUCAUGGGGAACCUAACCUCUGGCUUCCUUGGGAUCUAGUCUCUCCUAUGACUACAGGAGCACCCCACCAGUCAACUCCAUGUUUGUAGGGAGCCCCUAGCGUAGCUUCUGCCCUUCCAGAGUCCAGCCUGCCUGUCUCCUCUGGCCAGCUCAAGGCCCCCCUCCUGAGACAGACCAUGAAACAGUGUCUAACGUUGGCAAUACUUGCGUGUACCGCUGGCCUAGCAUGGCACCAAAAUGAGUGUGGUAAAAACCCGUGCCAACCACGUGGAUGUUUGACUUCACUGAAGAGGACACUGACUCGAACAUCUGAAACCCCUUGGCAAAGCAAGAGAGGGUGGGGCAAGAGCAGGGCAGAAAGGAAAAAAAGUGCAUUCACCCUGGCUUUUUCAAAAAGGGGCUCUAGGUUAUCAUUUGGCUUUGGGAGCAGCCCUUCCUGGAUGAAGCACUUUCCUCCUGGGCACCCUGUUUCUGUCAGGCAAACAGACCUCCGUUGUGCCUGCCCCUCCCUGACUCACAGGCACAUUAUGAACAUGCACUUAGAUGGCUGCCAGCAAUGAGGUAAGGAAACUAAUGUGAGGUGCCAACCCUGGGCCGUGGAGCCCUGGCCCUUUGUUUAAAAGGGGUUCAGCACCCCCUAACGUACAAGAGACUGCACCACCCUUGCCAAGUCAGUCUCUUGCCCACGUCUUCUCUCCAGCAUGGUGUCCUAGAACUCAAGUCUCCUUCUACAACCUCCCCAUACACAUGAAACUAGAGCCCCAGGCCCUCAGAGAGAUUGAAUUUGGAAUCCAAGUGAGCAGUGAAUUGGAAAGAUGUUGACCAACCUGAAAGCCAGGCUGUACAGUGUGCAAAACCCAGUCCCUGGUCUCUGCAUACACCCCUGCUCUUUUCCUGUGAGACCCGGGACUUCAGCAUUUCUUUCAUUUCAGAAUGAAGGUACAAACACCAAGGAGAGUGGGCUCCAAGUAGGUGUGAGUGAGGCAUUAUCCUCCAAGGAUGGUAAAAUUCCAAAGUCCAUUUACACCCUAGGGGUACUGUUUACAUUUCAGAAUCAUUCCCCAGAGCCAUCACCAUGCAUGUGCAUGUGUGUGUGUGCUUGUGUGACAGAGAGAGAGAUAGUGUGUGUGUGUGUGUGUGUGUGUGUUGCAUCCUUCAAUCAGCUCUGCCUUCUGGUGUUUUUUUCCCCCUUUUGUUGCCCUUGUUUUAUCAUUGUUGUGGUUAUUGUUUUUAUUAUUGAUGUCAUUGUUGUUGGAUAGGACAGAGAGAAAUGGAGAGAGGAAGUGAGACAGAGAGGGGGAGAGAAAGAGAGACAUCUGCAGACCUGCUUCACCACUUAUGAAGUGAACCCCCUGCAGGUGGGGAGCUGGGGGCUCGAACUUGGAUCCUAAUGCCUGUCCUUGCACUUUGCACCACAUGUGCUUAACCUGCUGCGCUACCACCUGACCCCGCUUUGGUUUUUUAAGACCCAGUUGUCCAAGAGUUAAAUGGUAUCCAAGUAUCAGCUUGUCAUUAUCUUAAAAAAUGCCGUCACCUUGAUAUAACCUGUACGGAAUGAUUGAGUGGGGGGUGCGUAGCUGAGUAGUUACCUCCCGUUGCUCCAGAGGACCCUGCACAUUUGCAGUGUAUUUCAGGCGCAAGCACAAUGACUCCCAUUCAGUUCCACGGCCUUUCCCUGAUAGUUGAUGAUCUCCCCCCAAUUAGAGUUUUUGUUUGUUUUGGUUUCUCCUAUUUCACUUCAUUUCCUUUUUGAGUGAUGUCAUCUGGUUCCAACUUGGCUUCCUCCUGAUAAUUCAUUAUGCCUGAGAGCCACUCCGGAGUGGGAUUAGAACCCGUGUAGUACAUUGUCGUUUUAAACUGAGGAUCUGCUCAUUAAUCGCUCUCUUCUGUGCAACUGAGCGAUCACACGCCUUCCCUAAAGGAACUGCAAUUUCAUGGUUCCUAAUGAUGCUGCGAUUACAUUAUCUGCCUCACUUAGACUCCAUGUGUCGGGAGCAGUGCUAGAAGACUAAGACAGAGAGAAUCGCUUGUAAAAUCAAGGAAAUAGGAGGGGAGGUGGGGCUGUGGUGAAAUGAAAAUGCCCGUUGCUAAUUUCCAUUUAUGUGCUGCUGUGUUUUAACAUCUCAUCCGGGCAUUACUUUCAGAUUCGUCUCCCCCAGCUCCACAAGGCUUCUUUAUCCAGUCUCACAUCAUUUGCUAAUAUGCACAGGGUUAUUUAUUUUAAAAUCUAUUUAUUUGCUGUAUUCCAUAGAGUAAAUCAUUCCCACCAUUAAUCUUCAUUACAUUUCUUGAAAAUGUGGUUCUGUAUAUCAUUAAUACAAGUAAUAUAUUUUGAUUGUCAUUUCCUAGACCAACUUGUAUUAUCUGAUAAGUCAAAUAAAAUGCUGAAUUCCAAA